rnacentral:rRNA from 1 species
AGUUGCGAACGGGUGAGUAACGCGUAGGUAACCUGCCUGGUAGCGGGGGAUAACUAUUGGAAACGAUAGCUAAUACCGCAUAAGAGUAGAUGUUGCAUGACAUUUGCUUAAAAGGUGCAAUUGCAUCACUACCAGAUGGACCUGCGUUGUAUUAGCUAGUUGGUGGGGUAACGGCUCACCAAGGCGACGAUACAUAGCCGACCUGAGAGGGUGAUCGGCCACACUGGGACUGAGACACGGCCCAGACUCCUACGGGAGGCAGCAGUAGGGAAUCUUCGGCAAUGGACGGAAGUCUGACCGAGCAACGCCGCGUGAGUGAAGAAGGUUUUCGGAUCGUAAAGCUCUGUUGUAAGAGAAGAAUGAGUGUGAGAGUGGAAAGUUCACACUGUGACGGUAUCUUACCAGAAAGGGACGGCUAACUACGUGCCAGCAGCCGCGGUAAUACGUAGGUCCCGAGCGUUGUCCGGAUUUAUUGGGCGUAAAGCGAGCGCAGGCGGUUAGAUAAGUCUGAAGUUAAAGGCUGUGGCUUAACCAUAGUACGCUUUGGAAACUGUUUAACUUGAGUGCAAGAGGGGAGAGUGGAAUUCCAUGUGUAGCGGUGAAAUGCGUAGAUAUAUGGAGGAACACCGGUGGCGAAAGCGGCUCUCUGGCUUGUAACUGAC